GACAGAGGGUGCAAACGUUGUUCGGAAUUACUGGGCGUAAAGCGCGUGUAGGCGGCUCUGUAAGUCGGGCGUGAAAUCCUACGGCUCAACCGUGGAAGUGCACCCGAAACUGCGUAGCUAGAGUCCUGGAGAGGAAGGUGGAAUGCUUGGUGUAGAGGUGAAAUUCGUAGAUAUCAAGCGGAACACCGGUGGCGAAGGCGGCCUUCUGGACAGUGACUGACGCUGAGACGCGAAAGCGUGGGGAGCAAACAGG
rnacentral:rRNA from 1 species